ACUUACCAUGUGUGAUGGAUCCUGGAACAUUUGUUCUAAAAUUGAUGUGGUCAACUCUGGUCUGGCACUGUCUUUCAAGGAGUCAUGGUGUUUUCUCUUCAACUGGCUGUAUCCAGAAGCACAGACCAUCUGUUUCAGAAACCUGAGGCUGUGCCCAUUUCAAGGCCAUGAGUCACCAAGGCAAGAACCAAGUCAUCGAGGGCACUGACUAAUUUGUUGUCACUGCUCCAAUAACAUCAAGGGCGAUGCCUUGACUUGGGAGUGAAUUUGUAAAGAGUAAAUAACCUCUGUGCGAGAGCCGCAGGGCCUCUCCUAGAAGUGACAUUUCAGUGUAUGGAUUUUGCUGGACCUAUUUGAGCUGCCUGAUGCCUCUGUUUGGCUUCCUUCCUGCUUCCUGGCCACGUUCCAGAUAGGUGAGGCUGUUGGAUCUGACCUCCAGAUUGAUGAGGUGCCAGCGUGUAUGACUAAUCUCCAACAUCUUGUUCUUUUUGUAGUGGCAAAAAGUUGGAAACCAAAGAGGGAUCCUCAUACCCAGGACUUCUCAUCUCUACCUCCUGGCAUCUCUGUCUUCCUUCAGAUCUCAACAAAUCCCUACUUAAGCGAGAAGCCAGUUUCCUCCUUAAUCUUAAUGCCUUCCCUCUGAGAUUAUCUCCAAUUUACCUGAUUCGAUCUUUUCAUUUACCACUUGGACUCUACUCGUACCACUGGCUCUGACCAUGAUGACUCUCUGGAUACAGUUUUUCACCUCUAUCUCUCCAGUUCCACGACCUGCAUCCUGGUUUCUGACUCCAGUAGAAUAUUGGAACUAGAGGCAUAAUUCUGGCCUCUAACCAUGUGAGAACUUCCUCCACCAUGGAACGCUCAUCUUCAGCCUCUGGCAACACUCACAAGAGGAUCAGUACAAAAAGAGGCCUGGAAGAAGUUAGUGGCAUUUGAAUUUGGUCUUGAAGAAUGGACAGACUUUAGCUGGCCAAUGUUCACAUUAACCAUAGGGUUCUGGUUAAUUUUCACACAUCAGAAAGGGAGAAAAGAUAAACUAUUUGGAAAAAUGUUCAACUACCAACAUGUUGGCUAGUUGCCUGCUAAGGACUUAUUACAAUCCUUAUCAAAAGAGAGAAAGAAAGAAAAAGAAAGAAGGAAGGAAGGGAGAAAGGAAGGAAGGAAAAGAAAG